rnacentral:rRNA from 1 species
AUUGAACGCUGGCGGAAUGCUUUACACAUGCAAGUCGAACGGCAGCACGGGGCAACCUGGUGGCGAGUGGCGAACGGGCGAGUAAUACAUCGGAACGUGCCCAAUCGUGGGGGAUAACGUAGCGAAAGUUACGCUAAUACCGCAUACGAUCUACGGAUGAAAGCGGGGGAUCGCAAGACCUCGCGCGAAUGGAGCGGCCGAUGUCAGAUUAGGUAGGUGGUGGGGUAAAGGCUCACCAAGCCGACGAUCUGUAGCUGGUCUGAGAGGACGACCAUCCACACUGGGACUGAGACACGGCCCGGACUCCUACGGGAGGCAGCAGUGGGGAAUUUUGGACAAUGGGCGCAAGCCUGAUCCAGCCAUUCCGCGCGCAGGAUGAAGGCCUUCGGGUUGUAAACUGCCUUUGUACGGGCGAAAAGGCUCUCUCUAAUACAGGGGGCUCAUGACGGUGCCGUAAGAAUAAGCACCGGCUAACUACGUGCCAGCAGCCGCCGUAAGAC